GGCUGUGUUCAAAAUUAAAACAAAAUAUUUUUUAUCUGUACCUUAAAAUAUUUUUCAAUGCCUUCUCUUUUUUUCUACUGACUGUAGCUGUCAGUGUUUUUUUGAUCUUGAUGUACAACGGGAUGAGAAUUGCUGUCCGUUUUUUGUUACAGUUAAACUUUUUCUCUGAGAGCCUGUAGCAGUAAAUACUUGUCAGGCAAUAUGCCUGAUGGACAGUGUGCCUCUGGAGAUUAAAAUACUUAUAAGAGCUUAAGAUAGUAGGUCAAAUUUGUAAACUCUUCCUUGCAUCAUGCUCAUUUGUCUUGAUGUCAUAUGGAUAACUGUGGAGACCCUUGGGUUUCAUAUUUCUUAACAAGUGGCCCAUACAUCAUGUGUUCAAAUUAAAACCAUGGCUUCCCUGUCUGACAUGUCUUGGGGCAGUGUUUCUGUCCGAAUGUUCAGUGUCAUGUGUUGAAUUUGGAUUUGACCACCUGUGACCUGGUUCUUCAGUGGCAUCCUUCACAGGUAUUCACUACCAGGGUUCAGCAAUAGAAAGAGCAAUGCCUUUGCUUUCCGAGUCUUACGCAGCUGAGGCAGUGCCCGAAGUGUGAGGUAUUAUAAGCUUUCUGAAGGCUGCUGCUGUUAGGAGGGUCUGCUUAUGAACAAAUCUUUUCUGGAUACAGUAAUUUGGGAAACUAGGGUAUGUCUCUUGUGCAAGAGCUUUCCAAACAAAAUAUCUUGUGUGAGACCAACUUCCCUGUGGUUUCUUCUAAAAAUCUACAUCCCUGUAACAAAGCAGAUUGUCACCUCAGGUAUUUUUUUAACCGCAUCAGGCUAUUUGGGGAGCUGUCAAAUGUGCUUUGCUGAGUCAGCUUAUAACUGGAAUGUGAAGGAUCCUUCACAACCUUUGCCUCCCAAGGUCACACUGGUGCUGAAACUAGGUUCUCAUCAGCAUGGGUUUUCUUAAAUUAUGAAUGUUAAACCUUGAAGAAUGCAAGUCUUUUUUUUUCUUUUUUUUUUUUUUCAGAAAUCUGUGAGAGGAAAGGACAUGACAGUCUAGGGUCAAGUAACAUCUGCAGGCAUAUGUAUCUGCUUGAAUCCAUCAAAUAGACCAAUGAGCAUAGCUGGGUAUGGAUUGGAUUCACAAAAGGCAUCAUUCACGGCACCUUUAUCUCAGAUGCCCUAGUUGCCAUGGGAAAAUAAGGGUUACAACAUCUAUAGACAGACAGAUGUCCAAGACUGAGUUGAAGUGAGUGUCUGGUGGGAAAAUGUGACUAAAUCUAAAACAGAAUGUACCCAGUUACUUUAAAAAAAAGUUACUGGAAUGCAACUGCUGAAGGCAAAGAACAAGGUGUAACCAUAGAGUAAUCUGGAAGCACAGCAAAUGAUUCUGAUCUUCGAAGUUCCUGUGACAAGAAUAUGAUUUCUGAUCUUGCCUGAAAAUUUAUGACCUACUUAAGUUUGUUUUUUAUAGAAGUUCAGUAUUUGUGUUACCCAGGGUUGUUCCCUAUAACUAAACUAACUAGCUGUGCAACUAUGAUGAGUUAGCAACAGAGAGGGCAACAACACAAAGGCCUUCAGGAAGGCCUGCAGUAUCAAUCUUAAAAUCAAGCUAGUCCCAUGAGGGUUUUGUAUUGACCUAGUUAAAAAAA